AUACGGAGGGUGCAAGCGUUAAUCGGAAUUACUGGGCGUAAAGCGCGCGUAGGCGGCUUUGUAAGUCGGAUGUGAAAGCCCCGGGCUUAACCUGGGAAUGGCAUUCGAUACUGCAGAGCUAGAGUAUGGUAGAGGGAAGUGGAAUUUCCGGUGUAGCGGUGAAAUGCGUAGAUAUCGGAAGGAACACCAGUGGCGAAGGCGACUUCCUGGGCCAAUACUGACGCUGAGGUGCGAAAGCGUGGGGAGCAAACAGGAUUAGAAACCCCAGUAGUCC
rnacentral:rRNA from 1 species